AGGACUGAAGGAAGAGCCCAGUUCUACAGGGAACCUGUGAGGUGGCAAAGGGACCAGAAGAAGAAGCUGUCCGCCUGUGGCCAAAUGAAUUGAUUUUUUAAAAUUGUGGUAACGUACAUGUAAAACUUACCACUUUAACCAUUAAAAAUGCACAAUUCAGUAGCCAGUAAGUACAUUUGCCAUGCUGUGCAACCAGCACCACCAGCUAGUUCCAGAACUUUCUCAUCAGCCCAAAGCCAUUUGCCGGCACUCUCCUCCCUCAGUCCCCAGAAACCACCAAUCUACUUUCCGUCAGUGCAUUUGCCAAUUCUGGAGAUUUCAUGUGAAUAGAAUCCAACAAUGGCAUUCCAUUGUUCCACAGCCAGCUUCUCUCCCUUAACGUGGUUCGUCCACGCGGUAGCAUCCAAGGUUCAUUCCGUUUUAUGACCUAAUAAUAUUCCAUUGUGUGGACGGAUUACAUUUUAAUGUUUACCAUUCAGCUGUUGAAGGACACCUGGGUUGUUUCCAUCUUUCGGUGAUUGUGAAGAGUGCUGCUAUGCACACUGAUGUACAAGUUUUUGUUUGAGCACCUGCUCUCAGUUCUUUUGGGUGCAUACCUAGGAGUGAAGUUGCUGAGUCAUCUGGCAAUUCAUGCUUAACUUGUAGAGGAACCUCCGAACUAAUGUCCACAACAGACUGGAUUGUUCCUGGCCUUAGCUUCUCUCAGCACCCUCUUUCUUGGGCAGCUUCCCGCCACCCCCUGCUGCCGCACCUGCUCUCCUGGGUUCCAGACCCAUCGCCCGUGCCUGCAUGACCCCUCACACCUCCCAAUGCCUGUGCUUUGCCCCUGUUUUCUGCCAUUCUCUGUCCCUGGAGCAUGGGUCCCAGCGGGUGACAAGCCCCAGCCUCAGGCUGGCCCCUGGGCCACAGGUCACAAGGGUAGGGGUGCUACACCUACUGUGUGCUGCUGGUCUAACUAUACCUGAUGUCCCACUUCAUCCACCGCAAGCCCUGAGGCAGAUACUGGUAUUGUCCCAUUUGUGGAUGUGGAAACCAAGGCUCAGAGAGGUUCAGCCACUUGCCCAAGACCACACAGCCGGUAAGUGGUGGAGUGUGGGCUUAAAACAGUCUGUCUCCUCAGGGGUUAAGACUUGAGGCUCCUGGGAAGAGCCCACGACCCCUCAGACUUUUGGAAAGGAAGUUCAGAGAUGAGGUCAUGGGCUCCAGCAGAUAGAUGUAGGAGAGAUGGUGGCUCUGGGGAGAAGUGCCUCUCUCGGGGGGUGAGGUCAGAGUGAGGGUCCUCUCAGGGGGUGGCGGUCAUCAGAUCCCACAUUUCCUGGCUGCUGUGGCCCUCAGGGGCCUGCUGAGUCCUGGGGGAGUUGACAGACAGUCGAGAGAUGAUGAUUUUGCUCCAGUGGGACCAGAACCCAACAUGCGGUUUCUCCGUGCCACGGCUUGUAUCACCACUGGCAGGCUGCGAGGGAAGGGGACACCCCAAGGCAGAGUAUAGUCCUCAGCCCAUCAAGGACCCAGGCGGGUGGUCUCCCGGCUCUAGCCAUCGGAAGCUCUUCCCCACUGGAGUCUCUGGAAAACAGUUUCUGGAUCCAGGAAGCUGAAGAUCAGCUCCCCGAUGGUGGAGACCUGGAUGAGUACCUGUUGCUUUGUGGAGUCCACAAGAGGGAGAGAGGAGGGUGGCGGCGGGGUGUUUAGCCUGGGACAGGAAGGAGGAGCAGGAGUUAGCGAGGCAGGGGAAGGGGAGGGCCCAGGGGGAAGGGAUAAUGUGUGAAGGCCCCGGGGCCGGAGGGGCAUCACAGCCUGGGGGGGUGCUGAAGCCAGCCCACCUGAUGGCUAGUGUAGACAGCACCCCAAGCACGUGGGGGAGGAGGCGGAGGCGGGCAGAGACUCUACCCCGCCCCUACCUGGUGGCCUUAGCUUGUUCUGACACCUUCGCCAUCAGCCUCCUGUCACAGUGACCUGCCUACACCCUACCCCCUGGGUGACUUUCAAUGUCCUCUAGAUCAGACUUUCUUAGCCUCAUCUGUACCUGCCACAGGGACUGGUUGGCACCUGGUGAGUGUGCACAGGACCCAUAAAUAAAUAUAUGUUCGAAUUAACUGACCCAUCUCACAGAGAGAGCAAAAACUAGGGUUAGGUGAGGGUGAGGAACCUGUGUCCCUGCUGAAACCCUGAAUCCUGGGGAGGGGCAGGGCAGCCCCCUGGUGGGGCUUCCAGACGGCAAAGGGUGUCUUUAAAGGAGCCAGAUGGGGAGGAAGAGAAGACAGGCCUCCACAGCUCUCCUGGGAUGUGAAGCACCUUCUUGAAAACUUGGAAGGCUCCCUGGAAAAGUCGAUCCCAAGGUAGCUGGCUCCUCUUGCCCCACUGGGCUUGUGACCCACUCUCUCUGGGACCCAGGUCAUUCCCUCUCAGGCAGGGGCUCCUCUCCUCCGGUUUGCAGGCCUGGGAGGGAGCAACAGGAAGUGGGAAGAAGGCAGCGGCCUUGCUCAGGGACACUGGUUAAUUCAUCGGGCUUUGCUGCUUUCCGCAGCUCUGCACCCUCUAGCUGAAUAUUCAGGCUGGCUCCUGGCUUAGCCCUGCCUGCGUCUGUGCAGCUCUAUUUUUACAGCCCUGGUGAUGGCUGAUGAAAACAUUUAAAAAGACACAAAAAUUAAAAAAUUUAAAAGUCGGGUGCCAGCUGUUCUGUUUAGAAAAGCAGCAUGACAUCUGCGUUCUGUCUCACGGAAGUGCAUGGUAUCCUCACCCCCAGCCCACACCCUGAGGCCCAGGGGCUUGGGACAGCUGGCUCAAGCCCCCAUGUUUGCCACUCACCCUCUGCAUGACCUUAGGCAAGCCCCUUCCUGUCCUGUGCCUCAGUUUCCACUAUGUGAUAAAGAGAAAUCUGGACAAGUUGAUCCUGGCUUGAAUUUGGGUGAUUCAAGAACAGUUUCCCUGCAGGAGCCAGGUGUGAUGAGGAAGCAGCUCCUUUUCUGUUCCAACAUCCCCUCCUUCUCCAUCCCUUUGACUAAUUCCCCUGAAAAAGUUCUACUUUUUAACCUGGAGGAAGGGUCCUGCCAGGAUCCUUGCAGUGGGUUGGGAGGCUGUAGGAACAGGGGUUCUAGUCUUGACUGUGCAACUCACUUGCAGUGUGACACCUACACAUGUAAUCUUUUGGGUCUGUUUCCAUAUAUGUCAAAAGGAGGAGGCGGGUAACAAUGCCCACCCUGCUUGCCUCACACAGCAGUGGUCGGAAUCCAAUGUCACAAAAAGUGUAUGUAGUUGAUGAUACUCAGGGUCCCUUCAAUGUCACCAAUUUUCAUGUACUCCAGUCCAGAUAUUAACUGAGCGCUUCAGGUGCUGGAACAUUCAUAGUAGUGACACACGGGGUGGGGGCAGCUACCGGGCGAGGUGAUUUCUGAGCUAGCCUGGUGAGGAGCAGUAUUGCCUCUCAGUUCCCCUGGGGGCAGAAUGGCCAGGAUGGGACGAGGAUACACCCCCGUGACCUCCUCCCUGGCGGAAUGUGGUGGCCACACCAAAAUCUCUCUCCUAUGUGGUCUCUGCAAUGUGACCUCACCUCUCCCCUUGAAUCUGGGUGAACGUGAACUCACCUCGGAGCAAUAGAACGUGCAAAGAAGGCAACCUGAAGCUUAGGAUAGCAAGGCAAUGUGGUUUCCACUUCCUUCGUGGGAAUGCCAUGGAAUCAGUGCUGCCGUCUGAGGCUCUUGCCAUGCGGUGAGGCAGCCCAGCCAGCCCUCUCCCCAGGCUCUGAGCUCACACCAAAAGAGGUGCCCAGGGUGCCCCCAACCCCUCAGGACUGCAACUGCAUUCAGACUGCCCAGGAGAGGACUCCUGAAACUCCUCCCAGAAAUCAUGAGCAACAAUAGUGUUGUUGUCUCUCUCAUUCACUAACUCUCGGGGGACCAUAGUAGCUGGUUCACAGGUGGUGAGUGCAGAGUGGACAGCAAGUUCUCCUUCAGAAAUCUCAGGGAAAGACCAUGGUCCAGAGCCGGAGUGGUGGCUUUGGCAAAGCAUAGCUGUGGACCGUUUGCUGAGCUGGCUUCUCUGGGGGCUCCGAGAGCCUCUUCUGUCAAGUGAGUGAUGGCAAGAUGAUAGCUGUGAUCAGCUUUACUCAUGCUCACCAGAACUUCCAUUCCCCGCCCCCCCCCCCCCACCGCCCCAGAGAAGGUGUGGCCUUGUAAAUCGCUGUCCAGGGAAACCGAAGCAAAAGUGGUAGCUGAGCACAUCCUGGAAGGAAAGCCCAUAUGUGGUUCUCCAUGGUCUCUGACUUGGCCUCAUGUCAAGAUGGUGAUGUCACAAGACACCAACACCUCUUACUCUGUGCUCCUGAAGGUCUGUGAAGAGAGAGACCCUUCCUGCUAAGCCCAACCUUUGUGAUAUGAAGCCACUGAGAUGUGUGUGUGUGUGGGAGGGGAGUUUGUUACCGCAGCGUAAAAUAACUUUCUUGACUGAUGCAAUGAUAAAAAUAAAAAA
rnacentral:lncRNA from 1 species